AUCCUGUAUGAGAGAAAAACAUGCUCAAGACAGCAUUGAGGUAUUUAGUUUUUACAAUACGAAGAACACGACAGUCUAUGCCACUUUCAAAGUAAAAAAAACCAACAAUAAUGGAUCAGACAAACAUAUGAUCGAAGUUGGCAGUAAAAAUCUGAUUCGAGAUUGUUUAAUGUCGGUUGUCAAGUCACAGAGCCUGAACCAUGCUGCACCAACUUCCGCCCAAAAAGGCAAAAACGAGGAAGAAACUAACAGGUGGCCCAGCUAAAGUGGAAGAACGGAGAGAAGUGGAAUACACUUGUAGGGUGGCAGUUAUUUCAAGAACCCUGUCUUGAGUUCUUAGGAAAUAAUCUGUGAAUCACAUGUGUUGUGCAACAUUUUCCCUGAAAAGAAAAAGUUUUCCCUUCGGUUGCUAUGUUGAUGUAAAUCCAUUGGAUGUACAUCUUGAUGUGCUUGCAAGUCACUCCACUUCUCAUCCAGUAUACCAUGAUGUACCCACAGAAAGGAUAUAAACAUAAAUUACACAAAAGUAUAUGCUUUGAAAAUGCAAAAAUUAACAUGGACUGAAUCCUACCGUAUGUAUUAUAUGACGGUGUUGAUGUAUUGAUAACUGAAUGGGUGACUUUCAAUAAAUACACACUUGUUUG
rnacentral:sRNA from 1 species